GUAUUCAAGGGGAUCAGCGAGUAUUAUCCCGGCCCAUCUUUAAAUCCCCAGUUUUCCCUAAUUAACCAUUUGGUACUGGAGUUUUGGCCAAAACAAUCCCCGGUCAUCCCCGGAAAACCCCAUCCCCGAUCCGUUUUUGCCUUGCAGGCAAUCCCCUACCCACACCUCGCGUAUUAUCCCCGUCCCCAUUCAAACCCUGUGCACGCAAGCGAGCGGCGGCGACGGGAUCGGAGCUGCAGGGCGGGCGGAGCAUCUAACCGGCGAAUACAAGGAUGGAUCUCUCCGAGCUGCUUCACAACGCCGCCGCCGUUGUUGGAAUUUGACCGGCGAUGCCACUUCCCGUCGGUUAUGUGCUCCGAUCUGGGUUUUUCUCUUCUACAAGUGUGACAGUUAAGGUUGCUCUCUUGCUUGAGGUUUUGCAGCAGAAACUCUUGGAACCAAAGAGCUGAAGCUUGAAAUCUACUUUAUGGUUAUACUAAGAAGUAACGAAAACACAUACUGUGCUUAGUGCUUAGAAGUUUUUUGAUCAUCCAUCUUGUGCUUGUUUCUCAAAGCAGAAAGUGUAUAUCCAUCUUGUGAGAAAUAUGUGCAUACCAUCAACUUAUGCUUGUUCAUGGAAACUGAAAAGUGAAAACAUAAACUGAAUAUUCUUCUGCAUUUUUGCAUGAAGUUUCUUCCAUGUGAAAAUAAUUAAUCUGGUUCAUUGAAUUUCAGGUCAAGUUUCUUCUUGUACCUUUGAUCGGUAGUUAUUUGUGUUGGACUGCAGGGCAUCAUCCACCCAUCAUUUUGAAAUGUACCCGCAGCUGCUAAUUGGCAAGUAUGAGUUUGGACAUGAUGUAUGCGAUGCCUAUGUGGUCUUGUUUUUGCAACGGCAAUGCUUCCAUGUAAUCUGAAUUUAGUACUUUUGUCCAGUCAGGGACCCGUCUAAUGUUAGCUAAAUGGAACAUGUGAUGGGCUUCAUGUUAUUUAAAUCAACGUGUGUAAUUGUUAUUUAGAUGGGCUUGUAGUAUUUUUGUGACUGAAUCGAAAGUGGCUUCGUGUUAUGACUGAAUCUGAAGUUUCAGUUCAAAGUUGACGUGUGGCCUAUGACAUAAAAAAUCAGAUCUUUGCUAACGUU